GUAGUUGAAGGGGAUAUGUUAAGGCGAUGGGCCUGGCCUGCAGCAUUCCCAUUACUGUACUUAAGUGUUGGAUUCACACCCUGCAUUGCAUCAAAAUAUGUACAGCAAAGGAUUAACAGUUCUGAAUAAAAUAAAACCGAAAAGCUACCGAAAAUUAUACAUUUAACGUCAAGUACAAGCUCCCCAACAAAUGUUUGCAAAACAAAUUGGUCUGUCACAAAGCAGCUAAAAUUAAUGAUUGGUUAAUAUUUUCACAAGAAGUGUAUCUAGACCAAUAAAUUGUACGACCCUGUCUUCAUGGAAGCCUAAUUUUGGUGACAGAACUCAAUCUGAGAGAUGGUUACAUAAGUGUUUAAAAUAAAGCUGCUCUGUAGUGGAGAGCCUGUCUGGCAUUUGCAGCCUUACCGUUCUCAGAUUGUGCUGUGUACAGAGCAGCCACGCAGUAGUACUGGCUUUGCACACCUUGUGUUGUGUCUAGUCGAUAUUUAUUCUGCUGUUGAAUUGGAUUUUGUUUUUUCUAAUUUAUCCUUUGGACUAGCCAUUACAUUUAUAUUGGUUUCCUGCCCCAGAAAUAACUCGUGGACAGUGAUGGGAGUGCAUUAUGCAUUUCAGUGCUAGAAACAUUUGAGUGUUGUAAAUUGCUCUGGUUACUACAUUAUUGCUUUGUAAAAACAGUUUUUAAGGGUAUAGUUACACUAGGUAGUCAUUACCAGGACUGAAAUAACUGCUCCAGUAUGUCUACAGGCUAUAUUUUCAUUAAGAUUGUGUAUCUGUUCAUUUUAUGUUUGUAAAUAUUUACUGUGUUACCAAUAUUACUGGUGUGCAUAGUUACACAGGGUUUUAUAAAAUUGCUUGGAAAAAUUAAUUGCUGUGAUUGGCUUAACAAGAUCAAGACAAUUCUAACCCAUCAUAGACCAGCUUGCUUACUUGAUCUGAAAUAUUACUACACUUUAAUAAUGACAAUUAUCUAAACAGUGUAGGUAAAAAUGUCAACAUACAACUGAAACAGCAUUUAAAUAACCCAACAAGCCCUUUUUUUCAAUCUCUGUAAUGAAGAAUUACAGAAAAAAUGGCAAAUAUACUGUGGUAUUUAGUCAGAACAAAGAACUGAGGUAAGCAGUAACACUUUAUUCAAAAGCCAGCUGAGAAAUGGCUUCCUGCCUCUCAACGCACCCAGGGUGUGCAGUAAGAAUUGUCUUACCUUACGUCCUGUCCUGAGUUAUUUCUUCCAUAACUAUCUUACUACGCUUUAAAAGCAUGUGUGAGAAAACACAUUCUGUAGCAUAUUGUUGCAUCCAGGGAUUCGGAAUUGAAUGAGAACAGGAUAAACAGGGGACCUGUUUUCUGUAAAUACAGAAGAACAAAUGCUAUACUAUAUGGAUUAGUGUUUGAAUGGAUUUUUAACCUUAACAUGCUAAAAUAUCACUGUCUGCAGCCUGUCUUGCCUAUUUUAGAUACUGGCAUGUCUUCAAAAGGCUUGUAUGUAAGGCUGUUUGUUUUACAGUUUGCUGAUGAAUGAUUCUCUGGCUUAACACUUUGCAGAGUUUGCAGUUUAAGGGUGUGUUCACACUGGGUCCGUUUAGGGGGUUUGGUCUGCACUCGGUCCGGUUUGGUCUGAAGUGUGAACAAGAAGGUCCGCUUGGGCAGGCAAACCUUACUGAGCCCACCGAAGAAAGGUGGUUUCAAUCCGUUUGGCAAACGCACAGAGUCUGGUUUGCUUGCUAAACGUCACUGGGAACAACUGCUGGACUUUUGCAAAUAGGAAACAAACUAUACAAGGCGGAGCUUCAUGGUCGGCAAGGUGACACAGCUGAAUUUUUUUUCCUUGAUCAUCCCAUCUGGUGCUGUCUGUCAGUUUCUCAGCACACAGUACAGUAGUCGCUCAGUAACGAGGUGCAAACAGG